rnacentral:lncRNA from 1 species
ACAACAAAUCAACUUGCUGCACGUAAGCAGACAAUUAAGACAGUCAACCAAAUGUAUUAAAUUGCAGACCUUUGGUGGUUUGAUGUCAAUAAAUUCAUAAAUGAGUGAGCCAUUGAAAAAAUAAAACCUUGAAAUAAGCAAAAUGCUCACCGAUAAGGAUGCUAAGGGAUUUGCUAAGGCCUUUUCCACAAACUAACAGCUGUGAAAGUUGUGAUAGGAUGUCCCGGACACAUGAGAGGUGGUUUGAUGUAAAUGAAUCCAUAAAUGAGUGAGCUAAUGCAAACCUUUACAUUUUUUUAUUGAUGUUGUUGUUUUAUUUAUUCUUUUUUUUUAUUCAGGCAAGGCAAGUCAACUUUAUUUGUAUAGCACAUUUCAACAACAGGGCAAUUGAAAGUGCUUUACAUAAUACAUUAAAGGCAAUUGGGAAAAAAAUGUAAUAGCAGUGGUUUGACAUUCCUAUGUCUAUAAAGAAAAAAAGUUAUUGAAGAUUGAAAUCGGUCGUCCCUGGCAACGCCUCUAGUGACAUGCGCACUGGGCACACGCUCAAACGCCUUGCGCUCUCUCCACUGCAUCGUCAUCUUUGGCGAUUUUUGAUUUGAUCAAAUAUGUGAAACAUCUUCCUGAAUGAGCUCUCCGACACAUCCCAAAACGUAUCGACGUUUAGACGAAGAUAACAGCAGCGACAUUUGACGAAUGUCGAACAUGAACAUGACGUCAUCAUCCCGGUCACGGUCGCCUCGUCCGAGUUUCUUUUCGGAGAGGCAGUGGCAGAUGGCAGCUUCUACGGACACUCACAUCAAAUGUUCUCGCUCACACGAAGGAAAACGGAUGUGGGCGAAUCGCAGCGACGACAGAGAAAAAGGAGUCGUGGGAAGUUGUUGUAAGUGAUGCACAUCGCGACCUAGCUAGCUAACAUGCAGGUGAGCUCCUUCUUUUAGUUUGUGACGUCAUGCUUACCGCAGCUGCUGCUUGUUGUUGUUGUUGUUGUUGUUGUUGUUGUUUGAAAUGCUUCACACUUUAGAUGCAGUGACAGCCAAGACAGUUGUGUAGAAUAUUGAACAAAUGUGGAACACUACGGAGCCCGUGAGUCUCUGACGUGUGUCUUCACAUCCCGUGGCUCUGGUGAUCUGUUAUCGAUUAUCCAGACCGGGGCUGCGGUAGCUAGGCUAAUUCCGGAGCUAGGGUAUUACUUUCAAAUGGUUAAAAACAAAGCAACCCUCAAUUUAACCAUGUCCAAUUUUCCUAAUCAUUUUCGUUGUUGUACGGCUUGAUUUGAUUUAUAGAAAUAUUUUGUCACUAGCCUGCAACCUACUACCAUACAAUGUUUCAUAUAUAUAUAUAUAUAUAUAUAUAUAUAUAUAUAUAUAUAUGUAACAGGCUUUCCUUCGAAUAAUCACGUCCUGUCCUGAUCUAUACAGUUGAUGCGUUCUCUGUUUCCAUGGCUCUUCAUGACAUCCUCGAUCUAACGAAUCAAGACCACUUUCUUACCGUUGUCCAAGAGGUUGACUGGUGUGAAGAUGAGAAACAAUGUUUUUUGAAUUUAAAUGUUUUUCGCCCCCAAUUUCAAACAUCUCUCUUUGAGAGUCUUCCACAUAGACUUGGCUCUCGUGAAAAGUCUUUCCCG